rnacentral:rRNA from 1 species
CCAAUAGCGUAUAUUAAAGUUGUUGCAGUUAAAAAGCUCGUAGUUGAAUUUCGGGGUCAGUAGAUUGGUCAUGCCACUGGUAUGUACUGGUCUCACUGAUUCCUCCUUCCUGAUGAGCCGUAAUGCCAUUAAUUUGGUGUUGCGAGGAAUCUGGACUGUUACUUUGAAAAAAUUAGAGUGUUUAAAGCAGGCUAACGCUGGAAUACAUUAGCAUGGAAUAAUGAAAUAGGACGUUCGAUCUUAUUUUGUUGGUUUCUAAGAUUGACGUAAUGAUUAAUAGGGAUAGUUGGGGGCAUUAGUAUUCAAUUGUCAGAGGUGAAAUUCUUGGAUUUAUUGAAGACUAACUACUGCGAAAGCAUUUGCCAAGGAUGUUUUCAUUAAUCAAGAACGAAAGUUAGGGGAUCGAAGACGAUCAGAUACCGUCGUAGUCUUAACCAUAAACUAUGCCGACUAGGGAUCGGAUGAUGUUAAUUUUUUAAUGACUCAUUCGGCGCCUUACG